CCGAGAAUCUUCGGCAAUGGACGAAAGUCUGACCGAGCGACGCCGCGUGCGGGAUGAAGGCCCUCGGGUUGUAAACCGCUGUCAGUUAGGAGGAAAUCCAUGAGGGUUCUCUCUCAUGGUUGACCGAUUUUCAGAGGAAGGACGGGCUAAGUUCGUGCCAGCAGCCGCGGUAAGACGAACCGUCCAAACGUUAUUCGGUAUCACUGGGCUUAAAGCGUGCGUAGGCGGCUUGGUAGGUGAGAUGUGAAAGCCCACGGCCCAACCGUGGAAUUGCGUUUCAAACCAUCAAGCUCGAGGAAGAUAGGGGUGAUGGGAACUUAUGGUGGAGCGGUGAAAUGCGUUGAUAUCAUAGGGAACACCGGUGGCGAAAGCGCAUCACUGGAUCUUUUCUGACGCUGAGGCACGAAAGCUAGGGUAGCGAACGGGAUUAGAUACCCCGGUAGUCCUAGCCGUAAACGAUGAGCACUGGGUUGAGGGAACUAUCACAUUCUCUCGGCCGUA
rnacentral:rRNA from 1 species